rnacentral:ribozyme from 14 species
GAAAGAGAACCAAAAGAAAGAAGAGUAAUAUUAUGAAAGAGGUGAUGAAUUGAUUUUUGUAUUGGGUAUGAGUAUGAGUAUGCUUUUAUGCUUUUAUGCUUUUACGCGUGUGUAUUAGACCUACGACGCGUGAGUUGUGUAUUUGAAAUUAAAAACA